rnacentral:rRNA from 1 species
GCUAAUCCCGUGACAGCGUCCGGGAUAAGACGGAGGGGGGAAGAGGUAAGCGGAAUUACGGUGCGUAAAGCGCACGCAGGCGGUCUGUCAAGUCGGAUGUGAAAUCCCCGGGCGCAACCUGGGAAUAGCAUGUCGAACGGGCGAACUAGAGUCUUGUAGAGGGGGGUAGAAUUCCAGGUGUAGCGGUGAAAUGCGUAGAGAUCUGGAGGAAUACCGGUGGCGAAGGCGGCCCCCUGGACAAAGACUGACGCUCAUGCACGAAAGCGUGGGGAGCAAACAGGAUUAGAUACCCCGGUAGUC